GAUCCUGGCUCAGGAUGAACGCUAGCUACAGGCUUAACACAUGCAAGUCGAGGGGCAGCAGGAUCUAGCAAUAGAUUGCUGGCGUCCGGCGCACGGGUGAGUGACACGUAUCCAACCUGCCGAUAACUCGGGGAUAGCCUUUCGAAAGAAAGAUUAAUACCCGAUGGCAUAGUUCUUCCGCAUGGUAGAACUAUUAAAGAAUUUCGGUCAUCGAUGGGGAUGCGUUCCAUUAGGUUG
rnacentral:rRNA from 1 species